GUCUGUUUCUGCUAGAGGCCACUUCUUCAGCCGUCACUUACUGACUCAACACAGGACAACAGCAGUGGGUGUUAACUGUGAUAAACGACUCGAUAAACCAAACAGAGAAGCCCCAAAGAAGUUGGGAAAAGAUACAUGCAAGUGUGCUCAGUAGCCUCUGACUGGGUUCAGCUGCUGGUCCUCUGCCUGUGUGACUGUGCCGUGAUUAGGCCCAUGUGUGCGCCCUGCCUGGACCGUUGGCCUCCUGGACGUGACUCCAUUUCCCUGAGUGCUUCACCGUGAGGCAGAGGCCAUUCAUCAUGUCAGCGAGAAGGCCUUCACGUGGAGCGAAACAUCAGUGGUACUCCGGCGGACGAGGAGCCUAUGACUCAAACCCCACAUGGAGCUGGCCUGGCCAGACUUUCCCCAACUAAUGAGCCUAACAUGUGUUUCUACCUCUCACUGCUUCCAUUUUCUCUGUGGAGCCAAUAAAUCCUAGAAAUGUCUCAUUUAAGACCAAUGAAUACGACUGAGAGACA